UUCUCUAAAAAUCAAUGGAAACAAUCACUGCCUUGAUGAAAGUACACUUGAACCCUUUUCCAUCUGAUGACUGAGCAAAAAAAAAA